rnacentral:rRNA from 1 species
CCUACGGGGGGCUGCAGUAAGGAAUAUUGGUCAAUGGACGAAAGUCUGAACCAGCCAUCCCGCGUGCAGGAUGAAAGCCCUAUGGGUUGUAAACUGCUUUUAGCAGAGAAGAAAAGCUUCAAUUUAUGGGGGUCUGACGGUAUCUGCAGAAUAAGCACCGGCUAACUCCGUGCCAGCAGCCGCGGUAAUACGGAGGGUGCGAGCGUUAUCGGGUAUUACUGGGUUGUAGGGGUGCGAAUAAGGCGUUUGUGAAAUCUUGUCGCUUAACGAUAAAAUUGCCAAUGAUACUGGUACUCUUGAAGUGGGUUGAGGUUAGCGGAAUGUGACAUGUAGCGGUGAAAUGCAUAGAUAUGUCAUGGAACACCAAUUGCGAAGGCAGCUAACUGGGCCUUGAUUGACGCUGAGGCACGAAAGCGUGGGUAGCGAACAGGAUUAGAUACCCCAGUAGUC